rnacentral:rRNA from 1 species
AGACCCGAAACCCGGUGAUCUAGCCAUGGGCAGGUUGAAGGUUGGGUAACACUAACUGGAGGACCGAACCGACUAAUGUUGAAAAAUUAGCGGAUGACCUGUGGCUGGGGGUGAAAGGCCAAUCAAACCGGGAGAUAGCUGGUUCUCCCCGAAAGCUAUUUAGGUAGCGCCUCGUGAAUUCAUCUCCGGGGGUAGAGCACUGUUUCGGCUAGGGGGCCAUCCCGGCUUACCAACCCGAUGCAAACUGCGAAUACCGGAGAAUGUUAUCACGGGAGACACACGGCGGGUGCUAACGUCCGUCGUGAAGAGGGAAACAACCCAGACCGCCAGCUAAGGUCCCAAAGUCAUGGUUAAGUGGGAAACGAUGUGGGAAGGCCCAGACAGCCAGGAUGUUGGCUUAGAAGCAGCCAUCAUUUAAAGAAAGCGUAAUAGCUCACUGGUCGAGUCGGCCUGCGCGGAAGAUGUAACGGGGCUAAACCAUGCACCGAAGCUGCGGCAGCGAACGUAUCACCCAAGACAACUUUACGGAGUUGACGAUUGACGGAGCGAAGCGACGUCAAAGCGUUCAUUAAAGUCGAGUUGGCUUAGGGAUACGUUCGUUGGGUAGGGGAGCGUUCUGUAAGCCUGUGAAGGUGUGUCGUGAGGCAUGCUGGAGGUAUCAGAAGUGCGAAUGCUGACAUAAGUAACGAUAAAGCGGGUGAAAAGCCCGCUCGCCGGAAGACCAAGGGUUCCUGUCCAACGUUAAUCGGGGCAGGGUGAGUCGACCCCUAAGGCGAGGCCGAAAGGCGUAGUCGAUGGGAAACGGGUUAAUAUUCCCGUACUUGGUGUUACUGCGAAGGGGGGACGGAGAAGGCUAUGUUGGCCGGGCGACGGUUGUCCCGGUUUAAGCGUGUAGGUGUGUGUUCCAGGUAAAUCCGGUUCACUUUAACACUGAGGCGUGACGACGAGGCACUACGGUGCUGAAGCAACAAAUGCCCUGCUUCCAGGAAAAGCCUCUAAGCAUCAGGUAACAUCAAAUCGUACCCCAAACCGACACAGGUGGUCAGGUAGAGAAUACCAAGGCGCUUGAGAGAACUCGGGUGAAGGAACUAGGCAAAAUGGUGCCGUAACUUCGGGAGAAGGCACGCUGACACGUAGGUGAAGUGAUUUACUCAUGGAGCUGAAGUCAGUCGAAGAUACCAGCUGGCUGCAACUGUUUAUUAAAAACACAGCACUGUGCAAACACGAAAGUGGACGUAUACGGUGUGACGCCUGCCCGGUGCCGGAAGGUUAAUUGAUGGGGUCAGCGCAAGCGAAGCUCCUGAUCGAAGCCCCGGUAAACGGCGGCCGUAACUAUAACGGUCCUAAGGUAGCGAAAUUCCUUGUCGGGUAAGUUCCGACCUGCACGAAUGGCGUAAUGAUGGCCAGGCUGUCUCCACCCGAGACUCAGUGAAAUUGAACUCGCUGUGAAGAUGCAGUGUACCCGCGGCAAGACGGAAAGACCCCGUGAACCUUUACUAUAGCUUGACACUGAACAUUGAGCCUUGAUGUGUAGGAUAGGUGGGAGGCUUUGAAGUGUGGACGCCAGUCUGCAUGGAGCCGACCUUGAAAUACCACCCUUUAAUGUUUGAUGUUCUAACGUGGACCCGUAAUCCGGGUUGCGGACAGUGUCUGGUGGGUAGUUUGACUGGGGCGGUCUCCUCCUAAAGAGUAACGGAGGAGCACGAAGGUUGGCUAAUCCUGGUCGGACAUCAGGAGGUUAGUGCAAUGGCAUAAGCCAGCUUGACUGCGAGCGUGACGGCGCGAGCAGGUGCGAAAGCAGGUCAUAGUGAUCCGGUGGUUCUGAAUGGAAGGGCCAUCGCUCAACGGAUAAAAGGUACUCCGGGGAUAACAGGCUGAUACCGCCCAAGAGUUCAUAUCGACGGCGGUGUUUGGCACCUCGAUGUCGGCUCAUCACAUCCUGGGGCUGAAGUAGGUCCCAAGGGUAUGGCUGUUCGCCAUUUAAAGUGGUACGCGAGCUGGGUUUAGAACGUCGUGAGACAGUUCGGUCCCUAUCUGCCGUGGGCGCUGGAGAACUGAGGGGGGCUGCUCCUAGUACGAGAGGACCGGAGUGGACGCAUCACUGGUGUUCGGGUUGUCAUGCCAAUGGCACU